rnacentral:rRNA from 1 species
AUUGAACGCUGGCGGCAGGCUUAACACAUGCAAGUCGAGCGGGGUGAUGGUGCUUGCACUAUCACUUAGCGGCGGACGGGUGAGUAAUGCUUAGGAAUCUGCCUAUUAGUGGGGGACAACAUCUCGAAAGGGAUGCUAAUACCGCAUACGUCCUACGGGAGAAAGCAGGGGAUCACUUGUGACCUUGCGCUAAUAGAUGAGCCUAAGUCGGAUUAGCUAGUUGGUGGGGUAAAGGCCUACCAAGGCGACGAUCUGUAGCGGGUCUGAGAGGAUGAUCCGCCACACUGGGACUGAAACACGGCCCAGACUCCUACGGGAGGAAGCAGUGGGGAAUAUUGGACAAUGGGGGGAACACUGAUCCAGCCAUGCCGCGUGUGUGAAGAAGGCCUUAUGGUUGUAAAGCACUUUAAGCGAGGAGGAGGCUCUUUUGGUUAAUACCCAAGAUGAGUGGACGUUACUCGCAGAAUAAGCACCGGCUAACUCUGUGCCAGCCGCCGCGGUAA